AUUGAACGCUGGCGGCAUGCCUUACACAUGCAAGUCGAACGGUAACGGGCCUUCUGGUGCCGCCGAGUGGCGCACGGGUGGGUAAUACAUCGGAACGUGCCCGAUCGUGGGGGAUAACGAGGCUAAAGCUUUGCUAAUACCGCAUACGAUCUACGGAUGAAAGCAGGGGACCGCAAGGCCUUUCGCGGUCGGAGCGGCCGAUGGCAGAUUAGGUAGUUGGUGGGAUUAAAGCUUACCAAGCCGACGAUCUGUAGCUGGUCUGAGAGGAUGAUCAGCCACACGGGCAGUGAGAAACGGCACAGACACCUGGGGGAGGAAGCAGUGGGGAAUUUUGCGGAAUGGGGGAGAGCCGGAUACAGGAAUGCCGCGUGAAGGAUGAAGGAGUUCGGCCUGGAAAGUGAUGUUGUACGGAGCGAAAAGAAUCCCUUUAAUACAGGAGGAUAAUGACGGUACCGGAAGAAUAAGCCCCGGCUAACUACGUG
rnacentral:rRNA from 1 species